rnacentral:rRNA from 1 species
UGGGGAAUUUUGGACAAUGGGCGAAAGCCUGAUCCAGCAAUGCCGCGUGUGUGAAGAAGGCCUUCGGGUUGUAAAGCACUUUUGUCCGGAAAGAAAUCCUUGGCUCUAAUACAGUCGGGGGAUGACGGUACCGGAAGAAUAAGCACCGGCUAACUACGUGCCAGCAGCCGCGGUAAUACGUAGGGUGCAAGCGUUAAUCGGAAUUACUGGGCGUAAAGCGUGCGCAGGCGGCUUGCUAAGACCGAUGUGAAAUCCCCGGGCUCAACCUGGGAACUGCAUUGGUGACUGGCAGGCUAGAGUAUGGCAGAGGGGGGUAGAAUUCCACGUGUAGCAGUGAAAUGCGUAGAGAUGUGGAGGAAUACCGAUGGCGAAGGCAGCCCCCCUGGGGCCAAUACUGACGCUCAUGCACGAAAGCGUGGGGAGCAAACAGGAUUAGAUACCCU